rnacentral:rRNA from 1 species
CAGAACUCCCAAGUUAAGCGUGCUUGUCUUGGAGUAGUUCUAGGAUGGGUGACCGACCGGGAAGUUGAACUUUCGGAGUAG